rnacentral:rRNA from 1 species
AGAUUGAACGCUGGCGGCAUGCCUUACACAUGCAAGUCGAACGCGAAAGCGGAGCAAUCCGCAAGUAGAGUGGCGAACGGGUGAGUAAUACAUCGGAACAUUUCCAGUAGCGGGGGAUAACCUGUCGAAAGAUAGGCUAAUACCGCAUACGACCUACGGGUGAAAGCGGAGGACCGCAAGGCUUCGCACUAUUGGAGUGGCCGAUGUCGGAUUAGCUAGUUGGCGGGUAAAGCCCACCAAGGCUACGAUCCGUAGCUGGUCUGAGAGGACGAUCAGCCACACUGGAACUGAGACACGGUCCAGACUCCUACGGGAGCAGCAGUGGGGAACUUUGGACAAGUGGGCGCAAGCCUGAUCCAGCCAUGCCGCGUGAGUGAAGGAAGGCCGUUCGGUUGUAAAGUCUCGUUUCGGUAGGAGACGAAAAGGUUCGUCG